UGGAGUGUAGCUCAAUGAUCGAGCACUUGCCUGGCAUGUGUGAGGCCCAGGGUUCAAUCCCCAGCAUAGCAA
rnacentral:tRNA from 1 species